GAUGAACGCUGGCGGCGUGCCUAAUACAUGCAAGUCGAGCGAACAGAUGAGAAGCUUGCUUCUCUGAUGUUAGCGGCGGACGGGUGAGUAACACGUGGGUAACCUACCUAUAAGACUGGGAUAACUCCGGGAAACCGGGGCUAAUACCGGAUAAUAUUUUGAACCGCAUGGUUCAAUAGUGAAAGACGGUUUCGGCUGUCACUUAUAGAUGGACCCGCGCCGUAUUAGCUAGUUGGUAAGGUAACGGCUUACCAAGGCGACGAUACGUAGCCGACCUGAGAGGGUGAUCGGCCACACUGGAACUGAGACGCGGUCCAGACUCCUACGGGAGGCAGCAGUAGGGAAUCUUCCGCAAUGGGCGAAAGCCUGACGGAGCAACGCCGCGUGAGUGAUAAAGGUCUUCGGAUUGUAAAACUCUGUUGUUAGGGAAGAACAAAUUUGUUAGUAACUGAACAAGUCUUGACGGUACCUAACCAGAAAGCCACGGCUAACUACGUGCCAGCAGCCGCGGUAA
rnacentral:rRNA from 1 species